GGAAAAGAGCCUUGUUUCACAAUUAUUUUAAAAGUCGCUGUAUGGAGAUAUCGAUUCAUUACAGUUAGAUCUUCAGCAAUUUUCAGGUGAGCAAUGUGUCUUCUUUUCUUGAGUUUCAGAGUCUCCUAAGGAGUUUGGGAACAGCCGUUGAUAUAAGAGAAGGCAAUUAAAAUUGAGAGAGAAUCCAUAACCCAAUAAAAAAAAUAAGUGGCUGAUGUGAAUUUAUAGAGAUAUUGAAAUAUGUGGGGAAUUAUUUCAAUUGGUCUAUCAUGCGCAGGCUGAGGAUUAUUUGAGAGAACAUCCUUUUAACAAGA